GACGAACGCUGGCGGCGUGCUUAACACAUGCAGGUCGAACGGAAAGGCCCUGCUUUUGUGGGGUGCUCGAGUGGCGAACGGGUGAGUAACACGUGAGUAACCUGCCCUUGACUUUGGGAUAACUUCAGGAAACUGGGGCUAAUACCGGAUAGGAGCUCCUGCUGCAUGGUGGGGGUUGGAAAGUUUCGGCGGUUGGGGAUGGACUCGCGGCUUAUCAGCCUGUUGGUGGGGUAGUGGCUUACCAAGGCUUUGACGGGUAGCCGGCCUGAGAGGGUGACCGGCCACAUGGGGACUGAGAUACGGCCCAGACGCCUACGGGAGGCAGCGGGGGGAAAUAUUGCACAAUGGGCGGAAGCCUGAUGCAGCAACGCCGCGUGCGGGAGGACGGCCUUCGGGUUGUAAACCGCUUUCGCCUGGGACGAAGCGGGAGUGACGGUAAGGGGUAAAGAAGCACCGGCUAACUACGUG
rnacentral:rRNA from 1 species